rnacentral:misc_RNA from 1 species
GAUGAAGAACGUAGCGAAAUGCGAUACGUAAUGUGAAUUGCAGAAUUCAGUGAAUCAUCGAAUCUUUGAACGCAUAUUGCGCUCUCUGGUAUUCCGGAGAGCAUGCUUGUUUGAGUAUCAGUAAACACCUCAACUCCCUUUUCUUUUUUGAAAUUGGAGCUGGACUUGAGUGAUCCCAACGCUUUCUUCCAAGAAAGUGGCGGGUUGCUUGAAAUGCAGGUGCAGCUGAACUUUUCUCUGAGCUAUAAGCAUAUCUAUUUAGUCUGCCUAAAAAACAGAUUAUUACCUUUGCUGCAGCUAACAUAAAGGAGACUAGUUCUUGUGCUGACUGAUGCAGGAUUCACAGAGACAGCUUCGGCUGACUUUGUAAACUCGAUCUCAAAUCAAGUAAGACUACCCGCUGAACUUAAGCAUAUCAAUAAGGAGGA